AUGUGAACACAGAGUCACAACAGCAGCAGACAUGUUUACGUUCCGCAGCACACGUACAGCACGCACGCGUGGACACCGUGCGUGGAUCGGACAUACCCGGACACCUUACUUAUUGUGCUGAUUUGAGCAAAUUUCAGCCAUGAACUCCACAAAUACAAACAGUUUAUUGAAUUAGAAAGAGAGAACACUCUGGAUCACUGUUACACAAUAGUCCACCGCGGUGCAUGAUGGGACAUUCUGACCAAGCCAUGGCCAACCUGAUUCCCGCCAACAGGCAGGAAAAGAAAGCUCGCUUUCUCUCUGUCUCGCUCUCUCGCUCUCUUCUCUUUCCCUCGUUAGGACUGCACUGACUGACUGCUGUAUCCAUAUAUCUAUGGCUGUAUCAGGGGCUCGGACAGAUCACAAACCUCAAACCUUCAACCCCCACUCCAGUAAUUAAUUGUGCCUUUAACCAGCUGAACCAGUUUUACUGUCGUUUUGAAAGACAAUGGUCUACACCAACAACAGCUCAGCAGGGCGCAGUGACUCUUCACACCUUCCCCCUCUACCACAGUGUCAUCCCUUUCCAUCCUGAAGAGGGGAGUCAACUAGCUCCUCAGGAGACAAACCCCCCACAGAGCAGCUGCUCAGCUGUCUCCAAGGUUCACAGACAUUUUUAACACCUCACUGGAGACAUGUUAUAUGCCACACUACUUCAAAUCCUUCAACACCAUCCCCAAAAAAACAAGGACCACAGGACUUAAUGACUACAGUCCCGUUACCCUUACUUCUGUGUUAAUGAAGUCUUUUGAUCGCUUGGUCUCUCCCACCUCAAGGACAUCCCCAACCCCCUCCCAGACCAUCUGCAGUUCAACACUUUCGCCCCCUGCUCUGCUCCAGGGGUGAGGAAUAACUUGAAUGAGUCCUGGGCAUCUGCAGUCUCGGAUUAUAAUUCAUCUUGAGUUUAUGAAAAUUGCCUGACAUUUUCUGCAGAUGUUCUUCCAUUGCUUCCAAAUCAUCACAUGCUCUAGGAAAGUAAAUGGAAUAUUGACCUAAUAUGGAUGUGUGAUUGUGUUAAUUGUGGAUGGGGAGUAAUCCUGAGUGAAUUAACAUGAGAAAUGUUGCUAUCAAUGACAAAGAGCAGUAGAUGUAUAGGCUAAUAACAAAAGGACUUGAUAAAUUCAGUGAGUUCAGGUUUU